AGAGCGUAUGGGAGGUCAAGAAGCCCUAUAUGAGGAUAAUGGUCUCAGUCCUGACCGUUCUUUUAGGUUUCGCGGUCAUGUAUAUGUCUGGAAUAAGUUCGAAGAAGUAAAGCAAAGUCUACAAAAGCAGUGUCUCUUUAAUUAGGUGUAGAAGUCACGGGAGUUUGUUGGUCUUUAUCGCAUUCACGUGAGUUUGUUAGUCAGAGUCUGUUGGUCUUUAUCGCAUUCACGGGAGUUUGAAGUUUGUCACGGGUGUGGAGGAAGUCACGGGUGUCAAGUUUCACUUCUAUAAGUGCAGCUGUUUUAUCGUUUUAGUUUAUU